rnacentral:lncRNA from 1 species
GAAUUUUGACUACUGAAUUUUGAAAAGUAUUGUACAUUACUCAUUGAACUUUGAAAAAUAUUAUACAUUACUCACUAAACUUUUGAAAAAUGUUGUACAUUGCUUAUUGUAAAUUCGAUAUUUUUCAAAAAUCAAGAGUUAUGCUAGUGCGUAAUGUACGAUAUAUUCUAAAGUUUAGUGGUCAAAACUCGAUAUUUUAAAAUUCAUUGAGCAAUCGAAGAUAUAGACCUAAGUUCAAUGACCAAAAUUCGACAUUUUUCAAAAUUCAGUGGCCAAAAUUCGACAUUUUAAAUUUUAGUGACUAAUCAAAGACAUGAACCUAAGUUUAGUGAUCAAAACUCGACAUUUUUCAAAAUUCAGUGGCCAAAAUUCGACAUUUUAAAUUUUAGUGACUAAUCAAAGACAUGAACCUAAGUUUAGUGAUCAAAACUCGAC